UGAACGGUCGGGGACAUGAAUCAACACUUAUUCUUGGCCGGGGUUAUGGUCGUUGGUCUUGCGUCUUGUGUGGGAAAAGUUGUACACCCCUACAAGGUUACGAUCUAUUGCAAUUGCCGCGCUCCCAGUUAAAGAGCACGCUCUUGUACUUUGACUUUAACGUAGAGUUAUCGAAUGGAGUUCAUGGAAGAUUGAGCUCAUGUUCAUGACCACCUUUACUUAUUGCAAUUACUUGAUGCCUGACUGGGAGAUCAUAGAAUGCCAUGUCUUUUGCUUAUUAUAACUUCAUCAAAUUUAGAUGUAUG
rnacentral:lncRNA from 1 species